rnacentral:lncRNA from 1 species
GUCAGCGUGCAUACUUACCUGCCGUCCCACAAGAUGGGAGGUGCCACAGAAGCCAAGCUGAGGGGAGGCCAGCCCUGGGGCCACAGGCAAACUCUUCCCAGAAGCAAGAUGGGCUGGAAAAGCCAGGAACUCUGUUUUAGGCAGCCAUCUUGCUGGCCCCAGUGUCAACAUGGAAUUAGCCCACCAGGGAUACCCCAAAAGCUGCUCACCGCAACCUGACUGCCCCAACUUGGCUCCUCAGUCCUUAGUGGUCAGGGCACCCUCAGGGCGCUAACUGUGAGAACAGCCUUGGAAGGCCAAAGGUUUCCCAGGAGAGCCUUUCUGGACUUGGUCUCAGGAGAGGUGGGACCUGGCUGCAUCCUCUGCCACCUCUGGGGGUAUCAGUCAGCUUCAAUAGUGUGACAAGUUACCCCAAAGUUUGGUAGCUUCAAACAAGCAACAUCUCUGAACCCACAAUUCCUGGGUGGCCAUUUCUUCUGCUUUGGACUUAUCUGCUCAGGCAGCUCCAUCCCUGAAACCCAAAGCUGUGACUCUGCAGCUGCCAAAUGCAGCUGGGUCCCUUUGACCUCUACUCAGAGGCCCCUGCUGGGGGUUCAGACUAAGUCCUUGGGUGGCUCCUCUCAGCCUCCUUCCUGUCCAGAUCCACCCUGCAGACCUUUCCCUUCCUGGCAUUCCAGCACAGGGGCACCCAGAUAUCGUCACUGUCAUCAUCACCCAUUGUCUCUUCUAUGCAUGGCCCAGAAAGGAGCAACCUGCACCAGGUAACCCAGCAGAAGAGAGGGGCAGAGAGAAGUGCUGUGGGCACUCUCCCAUC